rnacentral:rRNA from 1 species
UAAGGAAUAUUGGUCAAUGGGCGCAAGCCUGAACCAGCCAUGCCGCGUGCAGGAAGACGGCCCUCCGGGUUGUAAACUGCUUUUGUACGGGAAUAAACCUCGCUACGUGUAGUGAGCUGAAUGUACCGUAAGAAUAAGGAUCGGCUAACUCCGUGCCAGCAGCCGCGGUAAUACGGAGGAUCCAAGCGUUAUCCGGAUUUAUUGGGUUUAAAGGGUGCGUAGGCGGCCUGUUAAGUCAGGGGUGAAAGACGGUGGCUCAACCAUCGCAGUGCCCUUGAUACUGAUGGGCUUGAAUAAACUAGAGGUAGGCGGAAUGUGACAAGUAGCGGUGAAAUGCAUAGAUAUGUCACAGAACACCGAUUGCGAAGGCAGCUUACUAUGGUUUCAUUGACGCUGAGGCACGAAAGCGUGGGGAUCGAACAGG